UGUGGUGUUGAGACACGCACCUGGGAGCGCUUGCCUACUCGAAGUCCAUCUCCGAUUCUGGCUUGGACCAUUUCCUUAGCGGGUGAAAGACCCGUGCGGGUAGGCUGUGAGAGCAUUAAGCGCUCCUCAGAUGUGUGUGUCUUCGAGUCGGAUUGCUUGAGAAUGCAGUCCAAAGUGGGUGGUAAACUCCAUCCAAGGCUAAAUACUGGCACGAGUCCGAUAGUAGACAAGUACCGUGAGGGAAAGUUGAAAAGUACUCUGAAGAGAGAGUAAAGAGCACGUGAAGCCGCUUGCAGGGAAGCUGGUGGAGUCAAGCUUCAUGCCUGGUGGAUUGCCGCGAGAGAUGCCUUUGUGUCUGGACGUGGUGUCGGUAAGCCUGGAAACGGUUUGGCGUAUGCAAGUACGUUUCAAGUCGCUCUGGGAUGAGUGUUUGUGCCGAUGCCUAUCUCCUGUGUCUCUUGUGGUUUAUUCACCGCUGGCAUACAUCACGGUCAAUAGGAUCACCUUGUGUUUUGUGCUGUGUGAGUGCUUAACCGUGCCUCUGUGGACUUCACCGUCUGCUGGGCCCGGAAUGGCAGAAGGCACAUGCAGGCCUCGUGUUUGCAUUGUGCGUAUGUUGGUUUUGACCUGCUAGUGCUCACGUACAGUAUCGAUCCUAUUGUUCUUAUGCGGUGCACGCUCUCCGGAGCGGGUGCCUGUGAGAACCGU
rnacentral:rRNA from 1 species